GCCACUGCUAGGACACUCAACAGGGAACCCGAAGCAGCAAGAGAUCCAGGAGCAGCCCAGCUACUGCUUGGCUCUCACAAAAUGGUCGCCUUGGAACUCUUUAUGGAAAAGGAGAAAACACCACCACCACCGUUUCCUAACCCUGCACUGAAUGUGAAGACAACAACCACCCACCCCCAAAGGAAACUCUGCCAGGGUACAUGUAUAGUACCUACAGCAUUGAUCAAGUAUUUUGGAUCAAUAAGUGAGGUUGUACUGUUGACUGUUUUCAUCUCAUUAAUGAACGACACAUCGCUGAAGCUCACGGUGAAGUCUCAACCUCCAGUUUGCAGACUACGUGGCACCAUUUUACAGACACACGCUUGCACUUUCCCUCUACCACUAUACUCCAAGUUCCUGGCUGGCACUGGAGUUACAUCCUUAGCAUGUACACCAUAACCUCCAGGUGAGGUAAGUAUGAUUACUCUCAUUUUGAAAAAAUCUACAAUCUGAGGCUCAAAAGAGAGUAGGUCAUGUUUCUGAGAUCACAGUACUAGUAAGUGCUGUCCUUUUGAUAACUUUGUUCUCAUGGGCUCCAAAGCCCCCUUUCUUUCAUCUACCACACUGUCCCCAAGAUGAACGGGGGAAAAGCCAUACUUCAGCCUGAUAUAUUAUAAGCAAUGGUACCUGUAAAGCUGGUUUUACAUUUCAGGAAAUGGGAUUAAGUUUAGAAUCUGAGUAAUUAUACCCACAGGUUGAAGUUGAAUCU
rnacentral:lncRNA from 1 species